rnacentral:tRNA from 1 species
GGUCGGGUUGCUCAGCCAGGUAGAGCAGCAGGCUCAAAGGCUGAAGCUCUUAACCUGAAGAACGAAGCUCGGAAGACUCGUUCGGGGAACGGUCGAGGGUUCAAAUCCCUCCGGGCCCG